rnacentral:rRNA from 1 species
UACAGAGGUCCCAAGCGUUGUUCGGAUUCACUGGGCGUAAAGGGUGCGUAGGUGGUGAGGUAAGUCGGAUGUGAAAUCUCCAGGCUCAACCUGGAAAUGGCAUUGGAAACUACCUUGCUAGAGGGUUUGAGGGGGGACUGGAAUACUUGGUGUAGCAGUGAAAUGCGUAGAUAUCAAGUGGAACACCAGUGGCGAAGGCGAGUCCCUGGAAAUACCUGACACUGAGGCACGAAAGCUAGGGGAGCAAACAGG